rnacentral:rRNA from 1 species
CACGUGGGUGAUCUACCGUGAGGUGAGGAAUACCGGCGAGAAAUCGCCGACAAGACCGCAUAGCCUCGGUGCAAAUCGAGGAAAGUUUCCUUUCGAGGAGACGCCACACGAGGAGCCUGCGCCCGAUUAGCUGGCUGGUGGAGUAACGGUUCACCAGGGCGACGAUCGGUAGCUGGUCUGAGAGGACGAUCAGCCACACUGGGAUUGAGAACGGCCCAG